ensembl:snoRNA
CAAUGUGGUAGUUUUCUUUCUGGCCCAUUUGUUAAGUAUCAAAUAGGCCUAACUCUACCACAUAAAUGACACUGGAGCAAGAAUCUUGGGGCUAUCGGACCUCAUUUGAGCCCUCCCCACUGAAGAGAUUAUUUUUGCUCCCACAUGC